CGCACCUUUCCUGGUUCUGCAUUUAGAAGUAACUUCUCAAUCCGCGAAAAGCAUCAGAAACGUACAUUAAGAAGGCUUGGGGGACUGGACUCAAGAAAGUCAUAGAGAAAAUGCUAUAAUGCAGAUGAAACUUUAAAAAUGUCUUGUGUCUGUGGCCAUUACAUUGUGACAAGCAAAAAAAAUGAAGAAGCUACAUUCUCCCAGUAUUGAAAACAAACAUCUGAUUCAGCAAAGAAGUGAUUCAUAUCAUUAAGUGAAAUUUCAACAUGCAUCUUCGGUUUUGUCUUACUCAUCAAUGUAAAUGAAAAUAUCAACCAACAUUCAAGCUGAAACUCCUUUGUUCGUCAGUUGCAAGGUUGGCUAGAGAUAUGAGUGUAGCAAAAAUCAGUAAAAGCAUGCUACAAAAAUCAGAUGUUGAAAACCCCCCACCACAUGGAAGAUGUUAACUACUUGAUGAGCCUGAGCACGUAGCCCCAGGCCUCCUGGAGCCUAAGGACUGAAGAAGCUAUAAGCCCUGCGACACCACCCUGCUCCCUGUGACACACAACCCCACCCCCCCGCCACCGCCUCCCUCACCUGGCUCUUUUUUUUUUUUUUUUUUUUUUAUGGCUGUGUUGGGUCUUCGUUUCUGUGCGAGGGCUUCUCCAGUUGUGGCGAGCGGGGGCCACUCUUCAUCGCAUGCGCGGGCCUCUCACUAUCGCGGCCUCUCUUGUCGCGGAGCACAGGCUCCAGGCGCGCAGGCUCAGUAAUUGUGGCUCACGGGCCCAGUUGCUCCGCGGCAUGCGGGAUCUUCCCAGACCAGGGCUCGAACCCGUGUCCCCUGCAUUGGCAGGCAGAUUCUCAACCACUGCGCCACCGGGGAAGCCCCCCCGCCCUCACCUGGCUUUUAAAAACGCUUUGCCGAAACCCUUCGGGGAGCUCGGGGCUUUUUAGGGCAUGAGCCACCUGUUCUCCUUGCAUCGUCUUGCAAUAAACCUUUCUCUGCUCCAAACUGCAACGUUUCCGUUCGUUUGGGCUCGCUUUGCACCGUUGGG